GUGAGGAAUAUUGGUCAAUGGUCGCAAGACUGAACCAGCCAUGCCGCGUGCAGGAAGACGGUCCUAUGGAUUGUAAACUGCUUUUAUACAGGAAGAAACCCUCCCACGUGUGGGAGCUUGACGGUACUGUAGGAAUAAGGAUCGGCUAACUCCGUGCCAGCAGCCGCGGUAAUACGGAGGAUCCAAGCGUUAUCCGGAAUCAUUGGGUUUAAAGGGUCCGUAGGCGGUCUUAUAAGUCAGUGGUGAAAGCCCAUCGCUCAACGAUGGAACUGCCAUUGAUACUGUAAGACUUGAAUGCUUAGGAAGUAACUAGAAUAUGUAGUGUAGCGGUGAAAUGCUUAGAUAUUACAUGGAAUACCAAUUGCGAAGGCAGGUUACUACUAAGUGAUUGACGCUGAUGGACGAAAGCGUGGGGAGCGAACAGGAUUAGAUACCCCAGUAGUCC
rnacentral:rRNA from 1 species